rnacentral:rRNA from 1 species
GAUGAACGCUGGCGGCGUGCCUAAUACAUGCAAGUCGAGCGAACAGACGAGGAGCUUGCUCCUCUGACGUUAGCGGCGGACGGGUGAGUAAAACGUGGAUAACCUACCUAUAAGACUGGGAUAACUUCGGGAAACCGGAGCUAAUACCGGAUAAUAUAUUGAACCGCAUGGUUCAAUAGUUAAAGAAGGUUUUGCUGUAACUUAUAGAUGGAUCCGCGCCGCAUUAGCUAGUUGGUAAGGUAACGGCUUACCAAGGCAACGAUGCUUAGCCGACCUGAGAGGGUGAUCGGCCACACUGGAACUGAGACACGGUCCAGACUCCUACGGGAGGCAGCAGUAGGGGAUCUUCCGCAAUGGGCGAAAGCUUGACGGAGCAACGCCGCGUGAGUGAUGAAGGUCUUCGGAUCGUAAAACUCUGUUAUUAGGGAAGAACAAAUGUGUAAGUAACUAUGCACGUCUUGACGGUACCUAAUCAGAAAGCCACGGCUAACUACGUG